CGGAGUCCGCGCUGGACCGAGCACGCCCCCGCCGCCCGCACGCCGGCUAGAAGAGGAGAAGAGGGGAAGGCUUUGUUCAUCUCUGCCUGAGCUUAGGGCAGGUUUGAAGGCUCUUGGGAUCAAGCAGCUCCUCAGAGGAGCACCGAGUCACACACCAACUUUCUUCUGUGUGAUACAGCUGUCAAGCCUCAAGGCCGAGAAUCACUUGGUCUGCCAAGCGCAGGUGGCACUGGGGUCCAAUCUCGCUGAGCCUCUUCUGACUUCUCAUGGUAUCUGCAGCACUUUCCUGGCUAGAAUGUAGUCUCCAGGAGCACAGGACUUCCGCCGCCGCAGUCAUGUUCGUGUUUCCAGUGCCCAGUGCUGGGCCCCCGGUGAGUGCAUUCAUGUAAGUCAGAAACAAGCUAGGAUGUGUUGACAGCCAGGAGGCCAUGGUGGUCUUGCUACAGGAGCAAUGGCACCCCUUUAUUUCCUGUCAUGGGGCAUUUGUGGAAAUUUCACAGCCCACCGUCAACUCCAGAGCCAUGCUCCAGGCAGAAGACCAUGGUUGAAGGAGGCAGACCCAGAUAUCCACAGUGAUUCUCUCUCAAGAAUGGGAUUAUGCUGGCAAGUGCA